UGAGUGGUCGCUCAUUUUUUUUGAGAGGAAAGUCCGGACUUCAUAGAGUAAGAUGCCAGAUAACAUCUGGUUAGGGUGACCUAAAGAAUAGUGCAACAGAAAACAAACCGCUAUAUUUUAUAGUAAGGGUGAAAAGGCAGUGUAAGAGACUACCGGAGAUAAUGGUAACAUAUCUCGCAUUGUAAACUCCAUCUGAAGCAAGAAAAAAAUGGCUAUAUUGUUUACUCGCAAUGGCUAAGGUAUUCGCUAAAGGUUUAUGGUGACAUAAACUAUAGAUAGAUGACCACUUGAAAAACAGAAUCCGGCUUAUAGUAAUACU
rnacentral:RNase_P_RNA from 1 species